CCUACGGGAGGCAGCAGUGAGGAAUAUUGGUCAAUGUGCGCGAGCCUGAACCAGCCAAGUCGCGUGAGGGAAGACGGUCCUAUGGAUUGUAAACCUCUUUUGUCGGGGAUCAAAAGACGCCACGCGUGGCGUUCCGAGCGUACCCGAAGAAAAAGCAUCUGCUAACUCCGUGCCAGCAGCCGCGGUAAUACGGAGGAUGCGAGCGUUAUCCGGAUUUAUUGGGUUUAAAGGGUGCGCAGGCGGAAGAUCAAGUCAGCGGUAAAAUUGGGAGGCUCAACCUCUUCGAGCCGUUGAAACUGGUUGUCUUGAGUGAGCGAGAAGUAUGCGGAAUGCGUGGUGUAGCGGUGAAAUGCAUAGAUAUCACGCAGAACUCCGAUUGCGAAGGCAGCAUACCGGCGCUCAACUGACGCUCAUGCACGAAAGUGUGGGUAUCGAACAGGAUUAGAUACCCUUGUAGUC
rnacentral:rRNA from 1 species